UUACACCCAGUUGUGCUUUUUCUUUAAAGUGCAAACAGCAGUGGAAAACCCCCGGUCUUUCUAGUCCACUAUUGCUUAAUCCACGAAUCUUUGGAAAGCUGAGUUUUGAGGUGAGAGCAUGGCAAAGAUGCAGUCAUGGAUGUGUUCAUAAGGAACAGAGGUAGUUUAUGGGGAAAAUGGCUACUUAUGUGACUCUAAAAGUGAAAUUAUUAAUAUAGCAUCACUAAAUAGCAGUGAUGUGUUGACUGAUUAAAAACAUUGUAUCCAGGCUGCUUAGGUUUUGGGUUGGGUAUGAUUAAUUCAUUCAGAGUUGUGACUAUCACGAACUUCAAAAAAGACCCCAAACACAUUUAUAAGGUGUUCCAAAAUUACCAUUUUCAGCUGUAUUAUGAAUUGUAAUCGCAAAUUUUAUGUUUUGAGACACAAAGCUUAGAAAUGCUCAGUAAGCGAAGUGAAAAGGAUUAGUACUCCAUAGUGUUCACUCUGUGUGAUUAAAAUGAUACUAAAAUAUCACAAAUAAAUAAAGUGGUGUUAAAAACCAGCCAUGCGGGACCCUGGGAUGGGUUCCCAGCAAUUUAUCUGCUGCAUGAGUCACAGGGACAUGCAGAUAACUUUAAGGAAUUUGAAAAAGCUAGGUUACUUGUUGAACUAGUUUGCAAAGACAUUGAGGGUGUAUUGCUGAAGUGUGUAACAAGGCACUUGUUUUUGCAGCUUGCAUUACAUACUGUGUCUAAAAGGAAGUUACAAAAAUGGCAUUUCAGAUGUUUUGGAUGCAUAGAAAGUGUUUUUUUUUUAAUGGCUGUGGUGCUUAAAGUUCAGCUGAGGUUCAGAUAGGAGCUAGUGGUAUCUUGCUUGAACACGAGUAGAGGCAGUUUUAUAGACAAAUUUUAUGCAAGCAGUUAUCCUAAUGUGUACAGAGCUUUACAAAACUGUAACAGCACUCUGGCCCCCAGCAAAAGCAGAGGUAGAUGCAAAUUUUUCCUUCACUAUUCUGUGUUCAACAAUUCCAGUAACAGGGGAAGGACAGAUAUUGUCCUGGAUCAUAAUUUCAAUGCCUGAUUAUUGUAACCUUGGCUAAUCACUUGCAUAACCCAGCUAAUCCUUAGACCUGUCUGGGGACUUUGGUCAACAGACUUUUUAUUAUUGACAAUAAGUCAGAAAAAGAUCUUGAUUUUCAAUAUGCCACUUGUAUGGUUCUAUAAAUCAGGUAGAAAAUGCUUUAAUUCUAAACCGAGCUAAUGUGAACUUCAGUCUGUGGGAGCAAUAAACUUUGUGAUGCCAUCUUUGCUUGUAUUCUAUAACACAAUUUUGAAUUAGUUGACAUGUUGGAUGCUGCAUUUCAGGAGUUCUUUGGGUUGCCAGGACUAUUACAUUCUGUCACUAAAUGUGCAAGGGAUAUGUUAAAGCUCUCAUGUGUAUUGAACAGACUGUUACACGGAGCAAGGUUUGCAAGAACUGAAUUGGCUUGCAAUGAAGGAAUCCCAAAAUAAGGGUGAUGGGCAAGUAGGAAAGGGAAGAUUUGUGUAAGUAUCACUGUUUUCCAGCUCAUUUAAGGGCUUCAGAUAGUUUAGUGGAUGACACUUUGUGCUUAGUAACUUUCUUAGGACACAUAGAAGUUGUCUAAUGCCAGCCACUGCACUUUAUCUGUCCUGUUGUAUUUGGCUGAUACAUUACAUGUGUGCAAGAUAAAUAUUUUACAUUAAUGCCACUUGUAAAUAAAGGUGUGUUUCAGUACUUCUUAUACAUGUACAAAAUCACCUGAAUACAAAUACUUGUACUCUCUGCUUUUGCUUUUAUGAUGUUGGAAUUACUUGGCAGGAUUUUUGAGGAUAAAAUUUCAAUUCUAUUUUAGUCAUUUGUCAGUGUGCUCAUGCAUAGCUUCUGAAUCCAAGCAGAAAAUCAUGACAUAUCUCACAACAGAGAUAACUACCUGGGAAUAACUGGUUUUUGCUUAUAAUUUGCUUAUACUCUUUUAUAUUUAUUCAACAGUUUAUUGGUAUGCAGUGGUAAGUGUUCCUGGGAUGUUGGUGCAAAAUGGUGUGAAAUGAAAAAAAUUCCUGAGCCUCAGUGUUAAAAAGAUUGUUCCAUUUCAGAAUUGCAUGGUUGUGUGAAAAUACACAGCAUACAGUGAGAUAGUGAGUAACUGUUAAAAAGGAUAUCAGCUCUGCCAAAUUCAAUUGUGUAGUCAUCAGAACUUUUUAAAGAAGCAGAAAAAUUUAAACUUUGAAUUUUUACUACAUACAGACUGAUUUGUAACAUGUACAUGUGUUUCAGUUGAAAAAAAAAGUGGCUUUCAUAUUUCCUGUUCAAUUUUAAUUGAUUAUCUUUUUUUUAUAGCAAGUUUAUACUAUUAAUGGAUAAAAAGAUGCAACAAUGCAGUAAUAUAUUGUACUUCAGCCAUUUUUUCCUGCAGUUAGUAUUUAAAAUCUGUUUAUACAAGGAAACCUGUACACGGUAUUCGGACUGCAACUCAAUGGAAAUAAACCACUGUCACAUUCCAGGUUUCUGUGGCAUGAGUGGUUAUUACUCCAUCUUCUCGUAAAUUUAUCCUAAUUACUAAGUAAGACCUUUUCUCUGGAGAAAAGCUCCACUGAAAUAGGUUACUCACAGGGACUGACCUUGCCUUUUGUGGUUUAAGUGAAACAGAGCUUUGGCUUCAGUUAUGGAAUGUUUGGGCAUGUGGCUUGUGUUCUCCUCAACUGGAGUUGUCCUGAAGGGGCUAUGCAACACCUGCAAUUUCUAGAAAUUAUACCAAAAGCACUGCCAGAGAGAUCAGAGCUGUAGACACUGCAGAGAAAUCAGACCACCAAAUACCCUGCUGGUACAGAGCCUGCAGCUGGAUCUGAAAGGAGCAUCUCUUUGAAUGCCUCUGAAAAGCACAAGAUUAAACCCCCUCAGUGUGUUAGAUUCCACUGACAGGUGAGAUUGAGUCUUUUUUAUGUCAUGUGACUGGGUAAACAAUUUUGUUUACAGCAGUACCAUGAUAUGUUGUUCUCUCAAGCAGUAGGUGCACAAUCUACAACACAAAUACCUGUAAAAAUAGAAAGGGAAAAGUGAGUCGUGCUGUGUACCUUUGACUUUUAGUUCCACCAGUACUGAUAUAUAUUGAAAUAUUGUGCUGCUGUGCUGUUUCAACCCUGGGGAAAAAUUGGUCCCCUGUAAAUAAGUGUCACGCAUAGGGCUGCAUAUCAUUGUAAUAACAAUUCCUGCUUACUUCUCUGAUGAUCAGAGCUCCUGUUCCUUACAGUGCUGAAACUGUAAAUAAAUGAAUCAGACACCUAAAUAAUGGGAAUAAUAGUUAUGUUGUUUGUGAUGUGUCUUGUGUUUCAUUACUCUUUGGAGCUCCUCACAGGUUUUUUAGUCAAGUAGAACUGCAGCUCAAUUCUAGCAGCCACCGUGAGCCAAGUGUGCUUUUGGCUAAACACAGUUACCUUCCAUUUUCGUGGC